rnacentral:misc_RNA from 1 species
GGAUAUGACAUUUCCAUUUUUACAUGUAACAUGAGACCAACUGAAACAUGGAGUGACAAAAUCAAUGUUCCAAUCUUUGAUUUUAUUGUGUGAAUCAUUCAGAGCCCUCAGCAACUCAAUUAAAGCAUGACCUUCAACAUCAUAAUCGUUUGAGGAGAGACCAUUGCUGCAUAAAAGUAGGAAUAUCAGCAAGUUCAAGUGAAAUUUCCAGGACGAAAAGGCUGUAGACAUUGAAUUUUCCCUAUCAACCAGAGGAGAGCUUCCACUUGAUCCUUCUCCUUGUUUUCGAUACUCUUUAUAACAACAACAACAACAACAAUUGCGCCUCAAUCUCAAACAAGUCUAGGUCGGAGAAUAUGAUGUCAAAGAAAUAGGCCUUGUAGCUGG